CGCGCGGGGUGCGCGGGGCUUCCCUGCCCUCCUGCUGCUCUCCGACCUGCCUCGCCCCUGGCCGUCCCAGCUCCCCGGGGUGCGCUCCGAUUGGGGCUGUACGAAACAGUUUCAGCACCAAAGACAUGGGAGUGACGAAGAUGCACGAGGCCUGGACCCUGCGGAGCUCACAUUCCGGUGGGAUAGAGACAGAAAACAGGCCCGUACUAUAAUAUCCGGUAACGGAAAGUAGGAAGAAGUAGGAAGGGCUAGAGAGUAACAUGCAGACUUGCUGGUAGGAAGGGCCUCUCUACGGGGUAUCAUUUGAACAAGAUGCCUCAAGGGGAGGAAGAGCCUCGGAUAGCAAGAUCUCGGACCAUGGAUAGAAGAGCGAAUGCAGAGGUCCUAGACCAAGGGCCGACUUAGUGUACUGGGAAAAGAAAGAUCAGUAUGGGUAGAAAAAUGUCACCGAGGAAAUGUCGCAGAAGGUAAAACAGAAAGGUGUGGGUAUUGUGUUUCAGUGACAAAGAAGGUGACUAAGAUUGAAGGAGAGCACUUGAGCACGAAGGUAGAAGGAGAAGAGGAAACAUUCAGAGAUUGUGCUUCAGGAUGGGAGGCCAGGCGGAGAAGGAAGAGCUGGCAACACAGCCAAGAGGGAGCAGCUGGCAAGCUUUCUUCCAGUCCCCAGUGCUGACCCUGCUCUCAAGCUGACCUUUUACCAGCAACUCCUAAGGCUGUGUACCCCAUGGGGUAGAGCCGCUUCUCUCACGGCUCAACCAUGGUUUUGGAACCAGGUCUCAGUGACCCUGAUUGGCCUGACUUGGGUUGCUGGCUCAUCCCUGAACCCACACUGCAGCCAGAAAGAUGGGGAGUCCUGGUUAGAUGAAGGAAAUUGAGAUUCAUUUUUGGAGACAGGCUAGGGUUCCUCUCACCCAAAUUCUGAGGUUGGAAAGGAUAGCAGAGGACAGUAUGCUAAGGCAGUAAUCAACAAAUUUCUGGAAUAGCAAGUGUUAGAGUUAAGGAUGGUUUCCAAAUCUCUAGCUUGAGCAUUCUGGAGGGAAAUAAGGAAGCUCUUCUAGAAAUCAGUUGUGAUGAGAAAUACAAUGCAUUGUAGCUACCAACUGGUCAUUGGUGAUUGUGCAUUGAAACGGGUUUCAGGGAAGUAGUGGGGACAGAUGCCAGACUACAGCAGUGAAAGAAUUAAAUGGAGUGAGCACAUUAUGGCAGGGCAAGUUGGCCUUCUUCGAAAAGCUUAGAACUAAAGAGUGAGAGAAAGCUAAAAGUAAUAACUAAAAGAAGCCAUGCAGUUAAAACAUUUUUUUAAUAUAAAAGAAAUUUGUGCAUGCUUAAACACUACACAAUAUGAGAAAGAUUAAAAUAAAAGACAUAGGAGAGAAACAGGAUAAUUAAUGGAUCGAGAUACCUAGGAACAAUGAGAUUCAGCAUACAACUAAAAUAAUCUUAAAGAAGAGUAAGGAACCAUUUUUACUGUCAUUGAAGGAAAGAGAUGAGGACAGAUGACAAUGAAUUACUGCAUGUGCAAUGGGGAGUGAAUGCAGGAAGUGGAGGGGGACCCCAUCUGAAGGUUUGUAGCUUCUUGCUGAAGUAGAUGUUACCUACUGCUGGGUGUAUGAAAGCCUCCGUGAAGAGAGGGUGGAUUAGGAAAGAAUGUAGAGCCCACAUCAUCUAGAGUGCAUGUGGCCUAUUAUCACGGACCCAGUCUCACCCACGAUCAUCAGCCAGUCCAAUGGCGGGAACAAUCUAUUUCUCAACUAUAGCCACCCAGGAGAUGACUUCACACUGCACCCAGACCCAACUGGAUGGAAGCCCAGAGUCUUCGCGCUUGGCCUCCCCUUCACAUUCUGUCUGGCUCUCUGCCCUCUCUCAGGCUCCCAGCUCUCUCCUCCCCUUCCCUGAGGCAGACUGGAGACAGCUUCGGUCCUUUGUGCUGAGCCCGGAGAGGCCAUGUUUAUUCCUACUGAAGCAGGUGGGGUCUCCUCGAGGGUCCUCCCAAGAAAACCCAACUUUUCUCUUCCUAAUGUUGAUCACCUCUCAUAGUAAUAACCAAACUGUGUAAUUUUGAGAAAAGGCCCCCUCUCCACCAGGCGAGAGAAUGGGAAGAAUGAAAAGAGGUGAAGGGCACAUAUAGAAGACUCCCAAGAAAGUAUCAAAGACCCAAUUGAGAUAAAAACCCAGAAAACAGAAAUACUGAUUUGUGUGUUGGUGUGACUUUCCUCAAACAAAAAAGAGGCAUCUGUGGUGUUGAACAGAAAAGAAAGCUGACAGAACUGGUAAAUACAAAAAGAUGCUGAAGUGAUGUGUAGGUCUAUGAAGUAGAAAACACAUGAGGUGCAAGAGCACCAACCUUCACUUCUGCCCUGGCUAGGAAUGCAUGGGGAAGUUCACUGCCAUUGUCGCAGUACAGGCGAGUGGGCUGAUGCUGGCAUUAAUGGGUGGCCAGUCAUCACCACUGUGGGCUCCUGGUAGAAAGAUGAAUUCGGGGCUAGGAUGUAGCUUGGAGGUGGAGCAAGUGCUUUGCAUGUGUGAGGCCCUGUGUUUGCUCCCCAGCACUGUUACAAAGAGCAGACUAAGUUGAGCUUGGCCAAUUUUCCUCUGUCUGGGUUUCUUUCUUGCCCUGUGCUGUGUUAUAUGAGGCAGUACGAAGGUCUUCUCCACGUACCAGUGCCAUGCCAUCCAGCCUCCAGCACCAUGAGACAAAAUAAACUUCUGCACUUCACAGGUAACCGAGUUGAUGGGGUUCUGCUACAGCAGCAGAGAACAGACUGAUACAGUUUCUUACUAAAAAUAAUACACGGGGACUAUUUAGUAUAUAUGUGGGGCUGGGGAUUUAGCUCAGUGGUUCUGCCGCCUGCCUCACAACCACAAGGACCCGAGUUCAAUCCCCAAUACCAAAAAAAAAAGAGUAUAUAUGUGUCUGAUGGUGUUGAGCUCUGAGGCCUCUAUUGUCUGAUUUUCUCUGGUUUCCAGUGAUGGAAUUUGUUUCCAGGGAUAGAAUUUGCCCCUGCUUUCAGUAUUUCCAUAGACCUGUAACCUGUCAAGUCUCAGUCACAAGAAAUACUCUCAUGAAAUAUUUUUGGAAAGAUAUAAUUCAGACAUUAUUCUGGAGCUGCACUGUCCAGACUGGAACCAUAAGCCAGUAUGGCUACUUACAUUUCAAUGAGUGGGAAGGGGAGUUGAAUAUCAGUUCCUCAGUCCACUGGCCCCUCCAACAAGGGUGUGAACAUCACACCAGACAGUGCAGCUGUGGACCAUCUCCGCCAUCACAGGAAGUUUGCCAAGAACAAGGCUGCCUCUGAGAUGCCCUUGGGUCACUCCAGGUGACUCAUGAGCUCAUACAAGGGCAGCACAGAGAGGUAGUGUUUUUGUCUUUAGCUUGCAGUGGAGGAACAUCACAGAAAAACAGCCCUGUUCACUCAUGAUGGUGACGGAAGGCUCUUGUCACCCAGUCUCUUACAUAGUGUCUUCUUUGAUGAACAUCCUUGAAAGAAAUCUUAUUCUUCAUGUCAGAGAAAGCCAAGGUUCUCUUAAAGGUUGGGUUGUUUUCAUCUUGUGGUUACUGUGAUUCUGGAAGUUGACUGCAUUUGUCUUCCUGUCUUCUUGCAACACUGAGAGCCAGGUCUGAAGACCCCUUCCGGAACCCAGUAGGACCCCAUGCUAUGCGUUUCUCCCCAGCCCCUGUGUAGGAAGGAGGGGGAGGUUUCAGCCCUCAUUUCCUUUCUAUGUUUUAUUUUAUGUUUUUGAGUUGCACAUAUUUUUUAAACUUCACAAAUUCUUCCUAAAAGAGAAGUAAAAUGUAAGUAGUACAUAGAACCAUGACAGACAUAGGGUUAGACUUGCAUGCAUGCACUCACCAUUCAUGCCCAACACAGAUACAUGUCCCUGGGAUGAGAGCAUUAACAAAAA
rnacentral:lncRNA from 1 species